GCUGGCCUGGGGGUCUGCAGGUGGAGUUCUCCCCUGUGUUGCCAACGGGCAGCCCAGCCCAGAGACGCGGGGACUGAGGGUGAGGUGGUCGUGCGCACCGUUUCCCUGUUGGGCUGCUGAGCAUGUGGGUGCUGCACUCGCUCUGAGUGGCCCCCAGGAGCAGCCGCCACGCUGACACAGCCUCCAGAGGCUCCCCAGGGCACCCUCCCAGGGAGCUGGUCCCUCUGGUCUCUUCCCUUCCCUCCUCCCUGAGCUGCAGGGACAGCACGGGCUCCCUGGCCACAUGACGCACAACCAAGUGUUAGCUCCUGGCUGUGCCACGCAGUGCAGUGGCAGGUCUGUCACCCCCCCGGGAAACCCAGGGCUUCUGUCACUGUGGGCCAGCAGGCGGUGGUCAGCAAGCCCUCUGCUCAGGGCACAGCUAAUCAGAGCAGGGAGCUGCUGUCCUUGGCAAUGCAGGUGACCUCCCUUCGAGAUGAAUGUUGACAAAGGUACUUAGGACGUCACUGGCAUAAGGACAGGCGUAGUCACAUUACGCACCAAAACAUUUUCUUUAGUGAAAAUUCCACUGAAAGUUCUUUGAUGUUAACUAGUUGUAUUUGUGCUUCACAGGGACGUGCACCAGGAGGUGGCAUCACCAGGGGAGCAGCCAGUUGUCCCCAGUCGUCAUUUCCAGUUGACUAUAGUUAGCAAGAAGGUGUUCUCUGCCUCAAAAUAGCCAGAAGAGAGAGUUUUGAAUGCUCAUGCAAGUUCAUGUUCUCACCUUUGAGUUUUAAAUCUCAGAGGCCCUGGGCACAUGUCUGCUCUGCUGGGCCUGGUGGCCUGUCCCUGGGAGAGGCGCGGUCAGAGCCGGAGCAAAAGGUGGGCAGCAAGCAGCUUCCGUGACUCCAUUUGGCACAGUAGAAGCCAUUCCUUUAAUGAGAGAUCGUGUGGAUGUGCUGAGGGGUAAACUGGCACCUCCAUCCACAGGACAGGGUCAUUGCUGCCCACGUAUUCCUCCUAGUUCAGAGAGCUGGGCGGAGGUCAUGCAGUGCCAAC
rnacentral:lncRNA from 1 species